rnacentral:rRNA from 1 species
UACGGAGGGUGCGAGCGUUGUCCGGAAUCACUGGGCGGAAAGGGCGCGUAGGCGGCCUGAUAAGUAGGGGGUGAAAUCUUGCGGCUUAACCGCAAGGCUGCCUUCUAAACUGUCAGGCUAGAGCACAGUAGAGGCAGGUGGAAUUCCCGGUGUAGCGGUGGAAUGCGUAGAGAUCGGGAAGAACAUCAGUGGCGAAGGCGGCCUGCUGGGCUGUUGCUGACGCUGAGGCGCGACAGCGUGGGGAGCAAACAGG